ACAUAGGUGGCUCAGUGGUCGAAUUCUGGCCUUCCAAGCAGGAGACCCGGGUUAGAUUCCUGGCCAAUGCA
rnacentral:tRNA from 1 species